rnacentral:lncRNA from 1 species
CACAUUUUGUUUUUUUGAGCCCCCAGAUCUAAAUUGGUAAUCAUUCAGUUCGAGACCUGUAGAAAGAGUUGAGUUUGUAAAGUUUGUAGAUCUAAAAAGAAUGAAUACUUUGAUUUUCAUAAAUCAAAUACGUAUUUGUCCAUCUAAGUACAAACAGUCCAGAACACUUAUUAUCUGAAAUGGGAUAGUCCUUGGUGGAGAGCUUGGCAUUAUUCUCUCUAUGUGUGUAUAUAUAUACACACAUAUAUAUGCGUGUAUAUAUAUACACGCAUAUAUAUGCAUGUAUACACACUGAAUAGAUUAUAAAAUAUAUUUAUAUACAUGUGUACAUAUAUAUAAAUUAUUCAGUAGUUAUUCAUAAUAGAAUAAAUAGAUUUUACUGGGACUCUCAAUCCUUAACCAGCCACCUCUUGGUGCUUCUGGUUGAGGAAGUUUAUAUUAAUUCACUAAAUCAACAAAUAUUUGAGUUCUGGGACUGCUGGACCCCAAAAGAUAGAUGCAGCAGGGAGGGCAUUCCAUAUUAAACUAUGCAAUAAUUCUGUUGACCACAUACUGAAUAGCAGGACUACAAUUAUGCUAGCAUUUUCAAUUGUCAUUGCAAUAUGUAUUUUUUUUUAUCUAACAGUAUUUUAUGAUCUUUAACCUUAUGCCUGCCUCUCAUCUACUCACAUCAGCCUGGAUGCUACUUUCUUAUGCAGAUGCUCUUUCCCCUACAGAGCAUACUACUUCCCUUCCCUCUGUGUUUUACACUUUCAGGGUAGAUGACCAUCUGAUCUGUGAGGAUCCUGGGAUUUUGUUUUAAAGCCAGGCUGUUUAGUAAGUUUCUGAACAGAAAUUCAUGUGAAAUUUCCCCUUUUAAGAACUGUUUGUUGCUUUUCUCUGAUAUCUGAUUAACUUUGUGUUGAGAUAGCAUUUAGACAAAUAUUAGUUUACCUUCAUAUCUUUUUUAUAACUGUUUUACUUUCCAAUUUCUCUGUGAGAUGUGUCUUUAAAACCAAGUUUCACUAUGCCUUCUUAUUUUUUCAUCAAGGGUUGGUUUCUCAUUUGUAUAGUUUCUUUCCUAGAGAAGUCCCAUUUCAUUCAUUUCUAUCCUUAUUCUUCUUAAAUCCUGUGAUGGAGAACUCACUGCCUUAUAAGAUAUCUCACUGAAAUCUCAGAAAGUUCUAAUCAUUCAGAGUUUUAAAAUUAAUUAAUUAAUUGAUUUUUGCUUCUGUUGAGUUAAAAUCUGCCUCCCAGUAGUUUACACACAUUGGUCCUGGCUCUGCCCUGUGGAGUGGUACAGAACAGGUAUAAAAUAAUAAAAGUACCUUUCAUCCUUGACAGCUUAAAAUUGCCACAGCUUCUAUUCUGGUUCUUUCCCCUUCCAUUCUGUGAGACACACUAGGCAAUCUACUCAAUCUUCUGUGACUCAGCUUCCUCAUCUACAACAUUGGAGACAAUAAUAGUACCUACCUCAUAGAAUUGUAAGAGGAAUAACUGAGUCAAUGAGUCAACCUAUGUAAAGGAUCUGGAAUAGAGCCUAGCACAUAGAAAGCACUCUAUAAGCAUUAACUAUAAUAAUAGUAAUAAUAAUAGUAUGACACAGUGCUAACAAUACUACUAAUUAACAUCCUUUUAAUAUUAAGAUUAAUUGUGUACUUUAUGCCAGGCAUUGCACUAAGUAUUUUCAAUAUGCCAUCUCACAUAAUCCUUAAAGAAUUAUGUUCUCACCAAGACUUUUUUGGGGGGUUUAACCUCCCCAGUUAUUUCAGCCAUUUCUGAUGUGACAUAUUUUUUCAAAGUCAUUCAUUAUUCUACACAUUCCUGAAUGUGUAAAUGUCUCUGAAAACACUGAAUAUACUGCCUAGUGCAGAAUGGAGUGAUCUUACCACCUCCUUCAUUUUAGAAUAGGUGCUAUACAUCUAUGGAUGCAUCCUAAAAUUAUAGUAGAUUUUGUGAAUGCCAUAUCACACAAUUGAAUCCAGUUUAAGUUGCAGUCAACUAGACCCCUCCCUUAUUUCAUACUUCAAGCUGUUAAUCCACUUCUGUAAAUCUUUUUAGUUUUAACUCAAGUAUAGAAGCUUCUAAUUUUUUCUGGGUUAAAUUUUGUCUCAUUAGAUUCACUCCCUCAAUCUUUGAAUCCAGAUUCUAUCAUUCUGUAUAUUAGCUGCAAAUCAUUAAUUUAAAGCAUGCCACUAGUACUAAAUAGGGUGAUAAAGUCAGCAAACUCGGGAAAGAUCUAUAGGUAUCUCAGCAGAGAGUUCUGACUCCAACUAGUUCCCUUCCUCUCAUCUCUCAUGUGGCUUCUCAGAUUGCUUGCUUUCUAGUGCUGCUAAUAGAAGACACUAUAGUCCCUGAAAGCUCCUGCACCGGUAUAAAUUAAACUUUGAUGAGAACUUAGUAAAUAUGGAGGGCAGAUAAGGAGGUGUGAGGAAAUAGAAGCAGGAGAGGAGGAAUGAAGACCGAGUCUCCAUGUGGGCUCUAAGUCUGCCCAGCAGUAGCUGAUCUCGGGUUCCCUUAAGAGAAAGGACUCUCAAGAGGGAAUAAGGUAAAGGUGAUUCUGCUACCAAAUGACAAUCAUUUGUUACAAAGAAGUGUGAUCUGCUACUUGUUUGUGUAGGGUUGGGGUUGGGGUGGGGCUGUCCUUCUGAUGGAUUUGAUUUGAUACCCUUGAUUUAGGGUCCUAUGAGGGUAUAUUGCUUGGUCCAUUAUUACUAAUGAGUGUUUGUUUUGAAACCCAUUUCAAAAGUGUGACAACUGAGCUCUGGGAGGUGACAAAUUGUUCCCAUGGAAACACAGAUGAUAGUAAGUAGCUGAGAUGGGAUUUAAAACCUAAGGCUAGGUGCAGUGGCUCACGCCUGUAAUCCCAACACUUUGGGAGGCCAUGAUGGGAGAAUAGCUUGAGCCCAGGAAUUCAAGACCAGCCUGGGUAACAUAGUGAGAUCCUGUCUCUAGAAACGAUAAAAAUUAGCCAGGCAUGGUGGUGCACACCUGCGGUCCCAGGUGGUCCAGUUCCUUGGGAGGCCGAGGUUAGAGGCCUGGGAACUCAAGGCUUCAGUGAGCCGUGAUUGUGCCACUGUACUCCAGCCUGGCCAAUAAGAGAUUCCAUCUGAAAACAAAAGAAAACAAAAAAAACAAAACAUAGGCAGUGUGGCAUGAGAGAUUGUACCUUUAACCACUAUGUAAAACUGCUCCUGGGCAGUGGGCUCCACCCACAUUUACACACAGCACUGGGCAGCUGCUGCCAUGACAACAGUCUCCAAGUGGUGUGGCCUUUCUCUGGGGGAUCUGAGAAAGCCCAGGGUGGGUUUCUCCUCCAGGGAUUCCUGUUGCUGGGGAGGCUGCACUUCUGUGGCAGGAACAGAACCCUCCUUCUUUGCGAGUCCCCUUGGUUUCACUUUGCAGGCUCUGUCUGCCUGGACUUGAGGAGUUCUGCCCUCUCCAGCCCAGACGUUCCCUCUGUGGCUGCUGCCUCUGCAUUCUUUCCUAAUGGCACUAAUGGCAGUACCUGCUCUCAGACCUGGACCUGUUGACUGCAGCAGGCCCUGUCCAGCCUGUGACUCUCAUGGGCUCCUCCCCUACCCCUGCCCCAGGGGAAAUUCCCAAGUAGGAAAAGCAAUGACAGGAGCCUCCUCUUUUCUGUUUCUGCUUGUGGCCUCAUCCUAACUGGGGCUCAAACACACACACGCACACACGCACACACACACACACACACACACACACACACACACACCCUGUAUAUGCUCAGAGAAACAAGGAAGGGGCUCUGAGGAAAGGCUAAGUAGCAACUCAGGCUGUUGGAAAUGCACAGGGACAGGGAAGGUGGGUCCAGACCUGGGCUGAAGAGAGACAGUACUAGGCUUGGGUCUGGGCAAGACUUAUGCUGUCAUUCACUCCCUGGAGGCUCUGGAGGUGUGGCAGCCUCCUACCCCUCUCCUUGCCUCUAUUUGUAUCAUUUUUCUCCCUAAAUGGUGGGGGCGAGGGCUGUGGUAGAACCAUGAAUGAGGUCCCUUCUAGCUCUAGGAAGCAAUGAUUCCAUACUGCCCACCAUACUGAGGUGGGAGGGCCUUUGCUUACGAACACGAUUUGGCCUGAGUGGGGACCACCUGCGGACUGUGGCUGCUGCUGCAUUUCCCAGAAUCCAGACAAGCUCAGAGCACAUAACUCAUUCUAUUUUGGCCUUCCCUGCUGGGCUGCAACAGAGCCACAGCUUAGCCUUGGCCUUUCAGGGACUUUUACAAGCACCCAGAACAACCUCAGCCUGAGGCCUGGGAAGGAGGCUGGGACAGAGGCAGGGCUGGCUCCAUAAUUUGCAGGGCCCAGUGUAAAAGACAAUGCAAGGCCUCUAUUCAAAAAGCAAGAAAAAAAAGUACCAUUUUAGGUAAUAAAAUAUAAAGCGUUUUUUUCUCCUGUUGC